CGAUCCCUCGUGCGCCGCUGGCCUAUACAUCGGCGGUCCACUUAGCGUAACAGGAAAUGGAGCUGAACCCUCCAACCUGCCAUAGGACUCGAAAAAGGAAACAGAUAAGGGUUAGGAUACAUAAAAGGGCUAGGAAACGCACCUGGCAUCAUCUGAAAAGGUUGUGCCAUGGGUAUCAUCAGUUGAACUGCUGGGUCGGGUGACA
rnacentral:lncRNA from 1 species